ensembl:miRNA
GUCAGUCGGCAGGUUGUUCCUUUGUGCUUGAUCUAACCAUGUGGCUGCCAGGUUCCUAAAGGGGAACAUGGUUCUGUCAAGCACCAUGGAACGGCGCUGCAAAU